UUUCUGUGAUGAAUGAAUCAAGAAUUCUGCAAUUCGGACAAUCUCCUACCUUCUGUGAGAUUGCAUGUUGACUCUUCUACACUUGAUCUGAUC
rnacentral:snoRNA from 1 species